rnacentral:rRNA from 1 species
GGCUCAGGACGAACGCUGGCGGCGUGCUUAACACAUGCAAGUCGAGCGGAAAGGCCCUUCGGGGUACUCGAGCGGCGAACGGGUGAGUAACACGUGAGUAAUCUGCCCCUGGCUUUGGGAUAGCCACCGGAAACGGUGAUUAAUACCGGAUAUGACCACUUGAUGCAUGUUGGGUGGUGGAAAGUUUUUCGGCCAGGGAUGUGCUCGCGGCCUAUCAGCUUGAUGGUGAGGUAAUGGCUCACCAUGGCUUCGACGGGUAGCCGGCCUGAGAGGGUGACCGGUCACACUGGGACUGAGACACGGCCCAGACUCCUACGGGAGGCAGCAGUGGGGAAUAUUGGACAAUGGGCGGAAGCCUGAUCCAGCAACGCCGCGUGAGGGAUGACGGCCUUCGGGUUGUAAACCUCUUUCGGUAGGGACGAAGCGCAAGUGACGGUACCUACUAAAGAAGCACCGGCCAACUACGUGCCAGCAGCCGCGGUAAUACGUAGGGUGCGAGCGUUGUCCGGAAUUAUUGGGCGUAAAGGGCUCGUAGGCGGUUUGUCGCGUCGGGAGUGAAAACCAGGUGCUUAACACCUGGCUUGCUUUCGAUACGGGCAGACUAGAGGUAUUCAGGGGAGAACGGAAUUCCUGGUGUAGCGGUGAAAUGCGCAGAUAUCAGGAGGAACACCGGUGGCGAAGGCGGUUCUCUGGGAAUAUCCUGA